rnacentral:rRNA from 1 species
GAAUUUAAGCAUAUAAUUAAGCGGAGGAAAAGAAACUAACCAGGAUUCCCUCAGUAAGGGCGACUGAAGCGGGAAGAGCUCAGGAUGUGAAUCUGCGCCUUGUGCGCCGAAUUGUGGUCUGUCGACGGUGGCAUUACUGGCCGGGCCAAGUCCUUUGGAACAAGGCAGCUGAGAGGGUGAGACUCCCGUCCGCCUGGCUGGGUGAGCCACUAGUCUACGAGUCGAGUUGUUUGGGAUUGCAGCUCCAAGUGGGUGGUAAAUUCCAUCUAAAGCUAAAUAUUGGUGGGAGACCGAUAGCGUACAAGUACCGUGAGGGAAAGAUGCAAAGAACUUUGAAAAGAGAGUUAAAGAGUACCUGAAAUUGCUGAAAGGGAAGCGAAGGAAACCAGUGUCGGCUCAGUCAUAUUUCCCUGUCCGCUUGCGGUUUGGGCGCUGUGUCUGGCCUGUGUCGUCCUUGGUUGGGUCUGCUGGAAGAGCGCAGUGAGAGUUGAUCUCUGUUGCUAGCAGCGGGUCUGACUGAGGAGGACGAAAUGGUUUUCUUUACCCCGUCUUGAAACACGGACCAAGGAGUCUAACAUAUGUGCGAGUACAGGGGUGGCAAACCCCCGUGCGUAAUGAAAGUGACAGUGGUUGGACAGUUUUUGCACAAUCCGCCGGCCUCAAUCCCUCGGGAGAACGGUCUGAGUGUGAGCAUACAUGUUGGGACCCGAAAGAUGGUGAACUAUGCCUGAAUAGGGUGAAGCCAGGGGAAACUCUGGUGGAGGCUCGUAGCGAUUCUGACGUGCAAAUCGAUCGUCAAAUUUGGGUAUAGGGGCGAAAGACUAAUCGAACCAUCUAGUAGCUGGUU